CUACGGGGUGCAGCAGUGAGGAAUAUUGCACAAUGGGGGGAACCCUGAUGCAGCAACGCCGCGUGGAGGAUGACGCAUUUCGGUGUGUAAACUCCUUUUAUAUGCCAAGAAAAUGACGGUAGCAUAUGAAUAAGCACCGGCUAACUCCGUGCCAGCAGCCGCGGUAAUACGGAGGGUGCAAGCGUUACUCGGAAUCACUGGGCGUAAAGGACGCGUAGGCGGGUUGGAAAGUCAGGUGUGAAAUCCUACAGCUUAACUGUAGAACUGCACUUGAAACUUCUAAUCUAGAGUAUGGGAGGGGGAGAUGGAAUUAGUGGUGUAGGGGUAAAAUCCGUAGAUAUCACUAGGAAUACCUAAAGCGAAGGCGAUCUCCUGGAACAUUACUGACGCUAAGGCGUGAAAGCGUGGGGAGCAAAUAGGAUUAGAUACCCGAGUAGUC
rnacentral:rRNA from 1 species